UCUUCUGGGUCUUUCAGCUCCACUGAUGAUCAGGAGUGCCAAUGCAAUCUUCUUAAAAUGGAAGAACCAGGUGCUUCAAGAGCUGCCCAGGAUAGUAGCUGUGGAUGCAUAAGCAGCAGGAAGAGAAGGCAAGAUCCAAGGCAAAAGAGUGUUGAUAAUGCUGAUCCCUCCAAAACUGGUGGUGAAGUGAAAGACACCAAGGCCAAGAUCUUAAAGCAAAGAUGUUGCUACAUGGAAAUUUAGAUUGUGAUCGAUCAUCUUCCAACAACAAGAAGUUAUGGAGGAGGUCUCAUCUGCAGAGGAUGACGAGAAAAAGGCAGAGGAAUCCCUCGCUUCAAAUGAGGUUAGGGAGAUGUGUAGAAAGCAGAAAACAGAGCAGAGCUGUGUAGAAAUCACUAACAGAAUAAGGUUGUAGCAAUGCAAGCGAUGAAUCUAUUCAAGGAUAAUGCAAUGUCACAUUUCCACAAAAUCCUCAAAAGGAGGCAAAAGCAGGUGCCAUAGCAGGUUGGGUAAGUUUCUUGUUAAAGUUACACAAAAAUAAAAAGAUUCCAUUGAGAC
rnacentral:lncRNA from 1 species